UGAGGAAUAUUGGUCAAUGGGCGGGAGCCUGAACCAGCCAAGUCGCGUGAGGGAAGACGGCCCUAUGGGUUGUAAACCUCUUUUGCCGGGGAGCAAAGAACCGCACGUGUGCGGUCUGGAGAGUACCCGGAGAAAAAGCAUCGGCUAACUCCGUGCCAGCGGCCGCGGUAAUACGGAGGAUGCGAGCGUUAUCCGGAUUUAUUGGGUUUAAAGGGUGCGUAGGCGGGAUGUUAAGUCAGCGGUAAAAUUGAGGGCUCAACCCCUUCGAGCCGUGAAACUGGCAUUCUUGAGUGAAUGAGAAGUAUGCGGAAUGCGUGGUGUAGCGGUGAAAUGCAUAGAUAUCACGCAGAACUCCGAUUGCGAAGGCAGCAUACCGGCAUUCAACUGACGCUGAAGCACGAAAGCGUGGGGAUCAAACAGGAUUAGAUACC
rnacentral:rRNA from 1 species